UAGGGAAUCUUCCGCAAUGGGCGAAAGCCUGACGGAGCAACGCCGCGUGAGUGAUGAAGGUUUUCGGAUCGUAAAGCUCUGUUGCCAGGGAAGAACGUCCGGUAGAGUAACUGCUACCGGAGUGACGGUACCUGAGAAGAAAGCCCCGGCUAACUACGUGCCAGCAGCCGCGGUAAUACGUAGGGGGCAAGCGUUGUCCGGAAUUAUUGGGCGUAAAGCGCGCGCAGGCGGCUAUUUAAGUCUGGUGUUUAAACCUUGGGCUCAACCUGAGGUCGCACUGGAAACUGGGUGGCUUGAGUACAGAAGAGGAAAGUGGAAUUCCACGUGUAGCGGUGAAAUGCGUAGAUAUGUGGAGGAACACCAGUGGCGAAGGCGACUUUCUGGGCUGUAACUGACGCUGAGGCGCGAAAGCGUGGGGAGCAAACAGGAUUAGAUACCCUGGUAGUCCACGCCGUAAACGAUGAGUGCUAGGUGUUAGGGGUUUCGAUACCCUUGGUGCCGAAGUUAACACAGUAAGCACUCCGCCUGGGGAGUACGGUCGCAAGACUG
rnacentral:rRNA from 1 species